AUGGAGACAUCUUGGAAUGUCUGCAGGCAUGGAAGAGGCCUUCCGGGGCUCGGCCCCAGGGGAAGAGCACGUGUCCCCAUGGCCUGUAUCAGUUUGCUCUCCUUUCUCUUUGCUGGUGAUGAUGCACUCUUGGCACAGGUGCUGGAGUUGAAAGAUCUUCUUCGCUCUGAAAUACAGGGAGACAGAGUUUCUGCUGUCAAUCUUCUACUUUCCACAAGGAGCACUGA